rnacentral:rRNA from 1 species
CCUACGGGAGGCAGCAGUAAGGAAUAUUGGACAAUGCUCGCAAGAGUGAUCCAGCCAUGCCGCGUGCAGGAAGAAUGCCCUAUGGGUAGUAAACUGCUUUUGAACUAGAGAAAACCCCAGUACGUGUACUGGGCUGAUAGUAUAGUUAGAAUAAGCAUCGGCUAACUUCGUGCCAGCAGCCGCGGUAAGACGAAGGAUGCAAGCGUUAUCCGGAUUCAUUGGGUUUAAAGGGAGCGUAGGUGGACUUAUAAGUCAGUGGUGAAAUCUCCGAGCUUAACUCGGAAAUUGCCAUUGAUACUGUAGGUCUUGAGUACAGUUGCUGUGGGCGGAAUAUGACAUGUAGUGGUGAAAUACAUAGAGAUGUCAUAGAACACCGAUUGCGAAGGCAGCUCACAAAGCUGUAACUGACACUGAGGCUCGAAAGUGCGGGGAUCAAACAGGAUUAGAUACCCUGGUAGUCCGCACCGUAAACGAUGAUUACUCGCUGCUAGGGGGCAACCUUUAGUGGCUUAGCGAAAGCGAUAAGUAAUCCACCUGGGGAGUACGCCGGCAACGGUGAAACGUCAAAGGAAUUGACGGCNGAGAGNGCGAGGACGACACGAGGGAGGAGG